ACUGAAAAAGGUAAAAAGUGUAACAAGGUCUCCGUAGGUGAACCUGCGGAGGGAUCAUUACUGAGUGAGGGCCUUCGGGCUCGACCUCCAAACGUUUGUGAACACAACUUGUUGCUUCGGGGGCGACCCUGCCGUUUCGACGGCGAGCGCCCCCGGAGGCCUUCAAACACUGCAUCUUUGCGUCGGAGUUUAAGUAAAUUAAACAAAACUUUCAACAACGGAUCUCUUGGUUCUGGCAUCGAUGAAGAACGCAGCGAAAUGCGAUAAGUAAUGUGAAUUGCAGAAUUCAGUGAAUCAUCGAAUCUUUGAACGCACAUUGCGCCCCUUGGUAUUCGGAGGGGCAUGCCUGUUCGAGCGUCAUUUCACCACACAAGCCUCGCUUGGUAUUGGGCGCCGCGGUGUUCCGCGCGCUCAAAGUCUCCGGCUGACCUGUCCGUCUCUAAGCGUUGUGAUUUCAUUAAUCGCUUCGGAGCGCGGGCGGUCGCGGCAGUUAAAUCUUCACAAGGUGACCUCGAUCAGUAGAUCUAUUU
rnacentral:rRNA from 1 species